rnacentral:rRNA from 1 species
UACGAAAGCGGCUAGCGUUGUUCGGAAGUACUGGGCGUAAAGCGCACGUAGGCGGAGCUGUAAGUUGGGGGUGAAAUCCCGGAGCUCAACUCCGGAACUGACUUCAAGACUGCAGAGCUGGAGGAUGCGAGAGGUGAGUGGAAUUCCGAGUGUAGAGGUGAAAUUCGUAGAGAUUCGGAAGAACCCCAGUGGCGAAGGCGGUUCACUGGCGCAUUUCUGACGCUAUGGUGCGAAAGCGCGGGGAGCAAACAGG